UCAUAGGAUUUGGGACUGAGCUUCUCUUUCUCAUUUCUUAUCCUCUGUUUGAAGUUUGAACCAUCCGUUGUAUUGUAUUCUCUUAGGGGCAUCACUGAAAUUGUUACUUCAAUGGCACCCUCAAGAGGUUUGAUGAUUUAAUAAAAGUUCAAUGACAUGAGUGGAGUCGGAAAAGUUUCCAUAGGAGAUGGACUUUAUAAAAAAAUAGACACCAUUUAUACUUGGGGAAGCACUAAUCAAGAAAGGUUGUUCGGUGAUUUUGCAUAGGGGGAAGAUGGUGACCUGAGAGAAAUUACAAUCAACUGGAAGUAAGAUUGGUCUUACAUGGGAGCAUGAUUUUGAAGAAAGCUAUGCAAAUUGAAGGAAAUCUUUUAUUUGUUUGUAUUGUAAAAAGAUUGCAAAAGGUAGGGUAUUCAUAGAAUGAAACAACAUCUUGCUGGAGUGAAAGGAGAUUUUGGUCCAUGUAAAUCGAUUUCUCCUAAUGUAAGAUUUCAAAUGGAAAAUUCUUUGCAAGAGUUUGUGAAUUCCAAGAAAACAACCCAAGAAACAUAUGAAUGUAGAAAUCCUUAUGGUCCUAAUGUGUCACAAUUUGAAGGGGAUGUGGUAGAAGGUGAAGAAAAAGUUCAAGAAAUGCAAAGUCCUAUGGCAGCUAGUAGUGGAAAAAGAAAAAAAUCAACAGUGGAUAAGUAUUUUGCACCAAGAAAUACUCAAGGAGCUCAACCUUCCAUGAGGAGUGUAAUAGCUGGAAAAGAAGCAAUUCGGAGAGUGGAUAUGGCGAUUGAGAGAUUCUUUUAUGAUGCAUGCAUUCCUACUAAUGCUGUGAAUUUCUUCCACUUCAAGCCAAUGUUGAAUGCUAUAUCUGCAUUUGGUCUUAGAUAUAAGGGUCCAAAUUACCAUCAACUAUGGGUUAAUCUUUUAAAGGAUGCCAAGAAGGAAGUUCAGUUACUUGUGGACUCUUAUCAUCCAAUUUGAGCAAAAGUUAGGUGUACAAUAAUGGGUGAUGAUUGGAUAGAUUAUAGACAAAGAACACUCAUCAACUUCCUUGUGUAUUGUCCUAAAUGAAUAUUGUUUAUGAAAUCUGUUGAUGUUUCAAACAAUGUCAAGGAUGCAAAUAACUUGUUUUUGUUAUUUGAUGAGGUGAUUGAAUGGGUGGGUCAACUCAAUGUAGUUCAUAUAGUGAUUGAUAAUGCAACAAAUUAUGUGGUCGCUGGGAGAUUGAUUUCUCAUAAACAUAAACACAUCAAUUGGUCACCUUGUGCAACUCAUUGUCUUAAUUUGAUCUUUAAGGAUAUUGGUAAGAUGGACCAUGUUGCUUAACUUGUAAGACGUGCAUCAAAUGUGACAAUUUUUGUGUAUAAUCAUGUUGCUUUGUUAAGUUGGUUGAGAAAAAGAGACGGAUGGAUAGAGAUUCUCCGACCUGGUGUAACUCGCUUUGCUACUACAUUCAUUGCACUUAAGAGUCUUCAUGAUCAUAAACAUGACUUGCAAGCUUUGGUGACUAGUAAGUUCUUUGUGACUCUAGAUAUUCAAAGGAUAAUAAAAACAAAGUUACAGUUUCCAUCAUCUUGGAUAAUAGAUUUUGGAAUGAUUGUUUGAUUGUUAUGAAUCUUAUGUCUCCACUAAUGCGCUUAUUGCAUAUUGUUGAUUGUGAUGAGAGGCCUUUGAUGAGAUAUGUGUAUGAAGGCAUGUAUAGGGUUCAUUUGGGCAUCAAAAAAUUGUUUAACUACAAGAAAAAACUAUACAAGCCUUAUACAAAAAUCAUAAAGCAACGUUGCGAUCAACAACUAAAGAAAAACAUUCAUUCAACAACUUAUUAGUUGGAUUCAUGUUUCCAAUAUGAUCAGGAAAACUUUUGUAAUAAGCCAACUGUUAUUGUAAGUGUCAUGAAUGCUAUUGAUAAAAAAAUUCUAAAAGGCAAGCUUGAUACAAUGAAUGAAAUGAAGUUGUUUCGUGAUCGAAUGUGAAGUUUUGGAGAGACCUUGCUUAUACUUCAUGUGAAGUACUUCAACCUGAUGAAUGGUGGAGGCUACAUGGAUACAGUGUACCACAUUUGCAAAAGUUGGUCAUUCAAAUAUUGAGUCAAACUGCAUCGUCUUCUGGAUGUGAGAGGAAUUGAAGUGUCUUUGAAUGUAUACAUACCAAAAGAAGGAAUAGAUUGGAACAUCAAAGACUUAAUGAUCCUGUUCUAUAACAAGAAAGAAUCUAUGAUCCCAUUGACUAUGCAUGCAUUGAUGAGAUUGAUUUUUGGAUAGUUGAUGAGGAUCAGCCAACAGAGCUAGAUGUUGAAGAAUUGGAAAAUCUUCUAUAUGAAAAAUGCACAAUUCCAAUAAAUAAAGUGGAAGGUUCAAGUUCUCACAUUGAUGACGAGGAUGGUGGUGGCGUGGCUAUAGAAGGGCUUGAUAUGGAGAACUUUGGUUUUCCAUAUGCUCAUUUUCAUUCUCCAUAUUCCAGUUUUCAAAAUGAA